CACGGGGGGAGCAAGCGUUGUUCGGAAUCACUGGGCGUAAAGGGCGUGUAGGCGGUCAGGUAAGUGAGAUGUGAAAUGCCCCGGCUCACCCGGGGACCGGCAUCUCAUACUGCUUGGCUUGAGUACGGGAGAGGAUGUGGGAAUUCCUGGUGUAGCGGUGAAAUGCGUAGAUAUCUGGAGGAACACCGGUGGCGAAGGCGGCAUCCUGGACCAAUUCUGACACUGAGGAGCGAAAGGCCAGGGGAGCAAACGGG
rnacentral:rRNA from 1 species